rnacentral:siRNA from 1 species
GACCAAGAAUGAUUAUGUGACA